UACGGAGGGUGCAAGCGUUAUCCGGAUUCACUGGGUUUAAAGGGUGCGUAGGAGGGCAGGUAAGUCAGUGGUGAAAUCUCCAAGCUUAACUUGGAAACUGCCGUUGAUACUAUCUGUCUUGAAUAUUGUGGAGGUGAGCGGAAUAUGUCAUGUAGCGGUGAAAUGCUUAGAUAUGACAUAGAACACCAAUUGCGAAGGCAGCUCGCUACACAUAUAUUGACACUGAGGCACGAAAGCGUGGGGAUCAAACAGG
rnacentral:rRNA from 1 species